rnacentral:rRNA from 1 species
UACGAGGGGUGCAAGCGUUGCUCGGAAUUAUUGGGCGUAAAGGGUAGGUAGGUGGUCUCGUUUGUCUGGGGUGAAAUCCUUGAGCUUAACUCAAGAAGUGCCCUAGAAACGGCGAGACUAGAGUACUGGAGAGGGUCGUGGAAUUCCCGGUGUAGCGGUGAAAUGCGGUAGAGAUCGGGAGGAACACCAGUGGCGAAGGCGGCUACCUGGACCGGUUCUGACGCUGAGGCGCGAAAGCGUGGGUAGCAAACAGG